rnacentral:misc_RNA from 1 species
AAAUGUCCGUGCAGUCCUUCCACUCUCGUAUGAAACCCUAAUUACACCUUUUUAUCUCCCAAACGCUUCCUAUUUACUCCCUCUCUCUCAUUUCAAAACUCUAUCUUCCUCGAUUCAAUUAGAUCUCAGACUCUUAACCACUCUCCAAAUGACCUGGAAAACGGUUUAAUCAAUUAUUUCUGGUACGGAGCUUAAAGUUUCGAUUUUGUGGGCUUUCUGGUGUUAAUAGUUAAUUUAUUGUUUCUGUUCAAAAAUGGAUGGAGCUUUUGAGGACGAUAAUGAGCAGACCAUAACCAUCAAUGAGUAUCUUAACAAGGUCGAAGCUGAGGAGUUGGAAGCCGAUUUGGUUUUGGGUGGAGAUGAGGGCAAGGAGUGCACCUAUACUAUGGGCUAUAUGAAGAGGCAAGCAAUUUUCUCAUGCCUGACUUGCACUCCCGAUGGAAGUGCUGGAGUUUGCACUGCUUGCAGCUUGUCUUGUCAUGAUGGCCAUGAGAUUGUGGAGUUAUGGACCAAGAGAAAUUUUCGUUGUGACUGUGGAAAUUCAAAAUUUGGGGAGUUCUUCUGCAAGCUCUUUCCAAAGAAGGAUGUAGAAAAUGCAGAGAAUUCAUAUAAUCAUAACUUUAAAGGCUUAUACUGCACUUGUGGGCGGCCUUAUCCUGAUCCAGAUGUUGAAGAACAGGAAGAGAUGAUACAGUGCAU